rnacentral:rRNA from 1 species
UCAUACAAUGGUCGGUACAGAGGGUUGCCAACCCGCGAGGGGGAGCUAAUCCCACAAAGCCGAUCGUAGUCCGGAUCGCAGUCUGCAACCUCGACUGCGUGAAGUCGGAAUCGCUAGUAAUCGUGGAUCAGCAUGUCACGGUGAAUACGUUCCCGGGUCUU